UUUUUCAGUGGCACAUGCAUACUGCAAUUUUUCGAUUCCGAAAAUACAAUCGAUACAAAUUCAUCUGACCCAACAGCUGGUUCAAUUCUCUGCGAAUUCAUUCGACCGGACACAACAACACAACCAGCUACUACAGAACAAGACACCACGAACGCAGCUUCAACUGCCAGAACAACAAGAAAGCAUUGCAAGAAAGGCUAAUAGACGAAACUUCGCAGAGAGGAGUCGCCUUAGGAAGUGGACAUCUGAGAUUACGUCAUCUUGAAAAUGU